rnacentral:rRNA from 1 species
GCCCAAGAGAUCGGGAUAACACCUGGAAACAGAUGCUAAUACCGGAUAACAACAGAUGAUGCCUAUCAACUGUUUAAAAGAUGGUUCUGCUAUCACUCUUGGAUGGACCUGCGGUGCAUUAGCUAGUUGGUAGGGUAACGGCCUACCAAGGCGAUGAUGCAUAGCCGAGUUGAGAGACUGAUCGGCCACAUUGGGACUGAGACACGGCCCAAACUCCUACGGGAGGCAGCAGGA